UACGGAGGGUGCAAGCGUUAAUCGGAAUUAUUGGGCGUAAAGGGCGCGUAGGUGGGGAGGAAAGUCAGAUGUGAAAUUCUCAGGCUCAACCUGAGACCUGCAUUUGAAACUUCCUUUCUUGAGGAUAGACGGAGAAAACAGAAUUCCACAAGUAGCGGUGAAAUGCGUAGAUAUGUGGAAGAAUACCGGUGGCGAAGGCGGUUUUCUAGUUUACUCCUGACACUGAGGCGCGAAAGCAAGGGGAUCAAACAGG
rnacentral:rRNA from 1 species